rnacentral:rRNA from 1 species
UACGAAGGGUGCAAGCGUUACUCGGAAUUACUGGGCGUAAAGCGUGCGUAGGUGGUUGUUAAGUCUGAUGUGAAAGCCCUGGCUCAACCUGGAAUUGCAUUGGAUACUGGCAGGCUAGAGUGCGGUAGAGGAUGGCGGAAUUCCGGUGUAGCAGUGAAAUGCGUAGAGAUCGGAGGAACAUCUGUGGCGAAGGCGGCCAUCUGGACCAGCACUGACACUGAGGCACGAAAGCGUGGGAGC